rnacentral:lncRNA from 1 species
AUCUAUUGCUCACUUCCUCUAUUCUCUGUUCCCUGGGGCGGCUCUUCCAAAGGAAGCAAAGUUGCUUCAGGCCACUUCUGUUGUUCUCAGACAAAUUAGCCUAUGUAGGCAUCCAUUUCCUCAUUUGUGAAAUAAGAAAAACCCACUUCUUUGGAUUGUUGUGGGGGAUAUAUUUUAUACAGAAGUACAUUGUGUGUGUGUGCAAGCCUAGGACAAAACAUUUCUGAAUAAAUUCAGAUACCUUCCCCACACCUCACCCUAUUAAAAGCAGAACGAACUGGAGGAAGGGCAUAUUUCUUCCCUGUUCAGAACUUUUACUGGCACUCCACGCCCUAUGAGAUUAAGAACAAACCCUGCCUUGUAUUCAAAACCUUUACCAUAAAACUCCACUUCUCACUCCUCAUGGAACAUGAUCUGCAUUUGCUCACCUGUAUACUCUUCUCCUGUCCCUUUCUCUGCUUGUACUGGUCUCUCUCAAUUUUGCCAAAAUGUUAUCCAUCACUUGAGUCUCAAAAAGUGUGGAAAUUCUACACAAAUCAAAUUUCGGAGACUUAGACCCUUCGCAGUCCACAAGCUUAUCAAUUCUCAGAGCUUCAAGUUCAGGUAGAGCUUGGGUCCUGAUCUCUCUGAUAACUUCGACUUGUCUAUACCCUGGGGUUAGUCAUUCAUAAUAAUGCAUCAGUAGUAGUUCACCACCUGUCACAAAUGUACCACACCAAUGUAAGAAGAUAAUAACCAGGCAGGUAUAUUUCUCACCAUCCACUCUUAAACUUGGUACUCUGCCUACCUCCAUUCUUUUUAUGGAUCCUAUUGAAUAAUUUGUUAUUUCUUUUACAUUUGAAAAGAUACAAUACAGAAAAAAUUCAUUCUUCAGCAAACACUUGUUGAAUACCAUUUACUAAUUACAUAAGUUUUACUAUAAUAAUACUAAAGUACUGGAACAUAGUGCUUUAAUACAUUUCUGAUGAGAUCUGAAAGUUAGAUUCAUUUGUAAUAGAUGGUAUUUUGGCUCAAAAUAUCCAUUGCCUCUUCCAUAGGGCCCCAGCCUAUGGGAGGAAGACAUACCUGUGCUCAGAGCAGGCUUGGUCAUGCGACUUGCUUUGAUCAUUUGAUCAUUGGAAUAGGACUGGAGCAGACCCACUUUUUUUUUUUUCCUUUUUAGGGCUGCACCCACAGCAUACGGAGGUUCUCAGGCUAGUGGUCAAAUUGGAGCUGCAGGCUGCCCGCCUACGCCACAGCCAUAGCAAUGCGGGAUCUGAGCUGCUUCUGCGACCUACACCGCAGUUCACAGCAACAUCAGAUCCUUAACCCACUGAGCGAGGCUAGGGAUCGAACCCACAACCUCAUGGUUCCUAGUCAGAUUCGUUUCCGCUGUGCCACGAUGGGAAUGCCUGUCCUAUUUCUGAAAGAGCUUUAAGAGUCAUUCUCUGGUCGGUCACCACCCCCUCUUUUUCAUUCCGACAUGAAACUGCCAUGUUUUAGAUAGGGCUGCAUUUUCAUCCUUGGUUCUGACAUGACAAAGACAUGAAACUGAGUCAAAUCUGACCCCAGUAUAGACAUGAGAAAUAAACCUUUGUUGUGAGCCA